rnacentral:lncRNA from 1 species
CACAUCUAACCACUCUUCAGCUGAUAUCCACUUGCUGACAAAUGAAUCUCUCUGGCCCCUGGACUGUGCCCUGAAACACAGCUUAAAACAAAUGAACAGUAAUCCCAGAGAUCCUGAGAUGAGAAAAGGGUGUUUGACUUAUUCAAAGAAGACCAAGGAAGCCCAAAGACCAGAGAAGAGUGCAGGAAAGGGGCGGCGGUCUGAGAUGCAGUCAGAGCAGUGGCAAGCCCCCAGAGUCUGUGGCAAAGACUUCAGGUUUCAUCCUGAAGAGGAAGACAGGUCUUUGGAGAGUUUUGAUCAAGGAAGUGAGAUGAAAUAUCUUAGGCUUACAAAGAACUACUCUGACAUCUAAAUGGAAAAUGGACUGAUGAAGCAAAAGAAGCCACAAGGAAGCCAGUUCAGAGGCUAUUGAAAUGCUCCAGUGAGGGAACUGAGAGUCCAGCACCAAUGAAUGUGACACACAGAGGCCCAAGUCUUGGAAGAGGAAGCAGAAAUCAAAACUGCUCCAGAGCACAUCUGGAAAAAACAAGCAAAGCUCAUCUUCCUUUAUUUUGUGUUUUGUAACACUGAGCAAUUUGAUUAAAACAAAUCAGCAGGACAAAAAAUGAAGUUGCUUUUCUGUGGGGAGACAAAAUCAAUGAGAAGAAUCAAGGUUGAGUAAAUAUCUUAUGGAUACUCAGGGGAGAUAAUAUUCCAAUUUCCAGAAUUUAAAGGAAAAUUUUUAGAAUUAGUUGUUUUCUAAAACAUAAAGUUACUUUUAUUUUGUACCUUAAAUGAC